GCGCCUCCCCUCCGAUGGGCGCCGGGCCCUUCCAACGUGCCUUCCCGCCGAGGGUUGUUGGCCUCUCCCACUCUGCCUCCUCUCCAAUGGUGCCACGACGCCACCUUGUACAGGCAGCUCAUCGCCACACCCCUGUCCGUUCAAUGUCGCCGCCAACGCGUACAGGCAGUUCGCCGCCGCCAUCCCUGUCCGUUCAAUGUCCCCGCCACUGCGUACAAGCAGUUCGCAGCCGCCAUCCCUGUCCGUUCAAUGUCGCCGCCGUGGACGCGUCCUGCUCCAAGGCCAUGGCUUAUGCUUCAGCGGCAAAAAGUGGAGCCUGCUGGAGGAAUCGCGGGGUCGAGGACCUCCAGCUCAACAGUCCAACUGCUUCCUUUAUGGCCGGUCACUCAAGGAGCUGAGUGCAAGCCGCUCCUUGCUGCAAGCUGCUGCUGCACCUAGGACUGCCCGACACAGUCGCAUCCUUUUCUGCUGCUGCUGAUGCAUGUCCACUACUAAGCAGCUACCAAUUGCUGCUAUUGUUACCUCUAUUUUCUAUCUGAAGUUUAGUUUAGUGCGGUGACUAGCAAAGGUACAGAGGUACUGAAGGUUGAUUUGAGCAUAACCCUUACUCUCUGAAAAUUUGGCAAUAGUUCGAUGAAAUGGUUUACCUCAGUACAAAAGUAUGGGUACCCAACCAAUUUCUGAACAAUGUGUCUACUUUCUGCAGGUCCUUGUUGGGAUGACAGGGAUGACUAGAAUGCUCAGAGAAACAUCUUUACUUGACCCAGAUCUUUCAUUGCUUGUCUUCAGUCACCUAAAUAAGUUCAAGAAAAAUCUGUAAGUUUGGUCCGACGAGCCACCGCAGGCAGGAUCCUCUGCGUGCUAGCCUUGGUGCUGGCCCUACACGUUGGCACGACAUCGUUCACUGAUUCCACCAUGGGCUGUUCAAUGACACAAUGUCGAGUCGUUCGACACCGCAGCUCAGGAGUUUGCCUCCUUUCCUAACCUCCACUAUGCUCUAGCUAAGAAUAAAAACAUGAUGUAUGCAUUGCUUCUUGGCCCAGCUGAGAGAACACUCAUGUUAAAAAGUAGAAAGCAGUUUUGAAGCAAUUCCCAGUGUCUUUAGAAGCAUUCAUGGUUAAAGAGCAACGACGACAACCUCCUCCAUUCGAGCUGAGCACUGGUCAUAGUCCAAGUUGAGCAGUAGGUGCCGUCCAAGUUUAAAGAGGGUUGUAUGCAAGUACAGAAGUUUGUUUGAGUGAGAAAAAAUGUGGGGUUUUGACAAUAUUCUAUAUGAUUAAUUUUUCAUCCUUAGAACUUGGAAAAUUCAGUCUAUUUUUCUAUG